rnacentral:lncRNA from 1 species
GAUCUUCUUGAGCUUGGCUAGUUUAUCCUUCGCAUCAUCCAUUUGGUAUUCAAACUGAUCUUCUAGGUAAGAGCACACUUUGCUAACCAUCAUGGCGAUGCAGGCUGAUGCCAUCCAUUCUCCUAUUGCUAUAGGAGUCAUUAUACCCAAGAUGCAAUAACUCCAAUAUACCAAUGCCAGGAUUACUCACAGAAGGAAAUGGGUAUUGAGUUGAGAAAACUGGUGCUUUAUAUAAGAAGAGUAAUGAUAAUGAAGCUAGAUUAUUAUAUGGAGUUAAAAACAAAUAUUGUUAUCAGAAACUUCCCCGAGUUGCAUCGUCCUAGAUGUCUCCAAAAGUGUGUUGCUUUGUUGCCUAGUAGUUUAGUAAAACGUCACAUGUGUUGCUUUGUUACUACCAUUUUAUUUGUUGUUCAUCAACUCUAUUAGUCUCUCACCAAUCUCGUUUAUUCCGCUGUAACUAUUGAUGUUGACCUGUUAUGUGAUACUUGAAUGUUGGAUCCACGUACUAUUGAUGUUGACCUGCUCUGUGAUACUUGGGCUUUGUUUAGUUGGUGAAAAAUUCUAGGUUUGACUACUGUAGCAUUUUUGUUUGUAUUUAACAAUUAUUGUCCAAUCAUAAAUUAACUAGACUUAAAGAUUCG